UGGCGCGGCGCCGAGGCGGCGGGAGACGACCUCCAGGCUGGGGCCCUCUCCUGGGGCAGCCGAGGCCCUGGUCUGCACGGGGCGGGGCUGCGAGGCCGCAGGACCCGAGAGCUGCAGGCCCAGGCCCAGCUGGCCCGUGGUGUGGGCCGCGGUGGCGGGACAGCCCUCCCCGACAGGUGUCUGCCUCCCCGACAGGUGACCCUCCCCGACAGGUUGCAUUAAAAGCUGCGUUUUCCAACACAUCUGGGCAUCCCCCACCAGCGCUGGGGCCGUGGGGUCCUGGCUUCUCUUUGUCCUGAUCCUGGAGCCCGAGGGCAGUAGGCUGCCCCACCGCCUUCUUCCCCUGGCAGCUCCACCGAGUCUGGACUCCCAUGAUUGACUCGGGGCUUAAACUUCUGAUGUGAAGUUGUACAUUUUUAUGAAAUCUGUCCAUCUCUUUGUGGUUUAUAGCCAUGAUUUUUUUUUUGCCCCAUUCCGCGUUCUGAAUAAUGGCAUUGACACAACAGCUUUUAUUUGCUUCUUACAAUUUGAUUUUUUUUUACAUGUAAUUUGUUCCUUAUAAUUUUCAAAUAUCUUAAAAUUGUGAAAAUUAACAUGUGUUUAAUAUAGACAAUGCAGAAAAAUGUAGAGGAAAACGAAAAUCUUCUGUAAUCUCCCAAAAACCUCACUUUGGAUGUUUUGGGGGCGCUGCAUCAAGAGAGAUAUGAUUGAGACUUCCUCUUGACAACUUCAGUGCCCUUCUGCGUAUUCACCUGUCCUGGCAGGAGCUGUUAGACACGUGAUUCCACAGACACCUGAGGUCCUGCUGUGCAUCAUGCAGGUCGAGGGGUAUAAAGCUUGACAGUUUCUCUCAAAGAACAUUGUGGACUAGAAUGUGUGGAACAGACCGUCGUGCAGAAGAGCAGCUGCACUCCACGGGGACCACAUCCUGGGAAUCUUCCGGAAAUGCCGCCGGCACCCUGAGCUAGGCUGGCUGUCCCCUCCCAGGGACCUGUCUGUCCUUGUACCUUUGUAAUAUCCAGGGCACCUGGCUGAGGCUACUCGCUGCCCUCAUGGGUCUUUUAUCAAAAUGAUCUAGGCUACUGGUAUUUUUUUUUUAAACUUCCAGAUGACUAUUAGAAUAACUGUGAGAUUUAUGCCCCAAAAAACUCAAAGUCAUUUUCAUAAGAAAUGUACUAAAUCUAUAAAUUUGGGAGAAAGUGUAUCUUUACAAUAUUUAUUCUUACAUCUCUAUAGAUUUUUAUGUUGUAUAUCUCCUACUGAGCUGUAUAGGUUCUUAGGUUUUUUAGGGUUAUUACUGUUGUUUUGGAGGGCAUUUUUCCACUGUUAUGAAUGAGAGUCCCCCAUGAUAUUAUCUAAAUCUAACUGCUGAGUGUUGAUACACAGAUUCCUAGGAAAUAAAAGCUUGUUUGGGCAAUUA